UGCUCGUGGCCACCGUUGGCCCCGGUCGCGCAGAGCUCUGCGAGGACGCGCUAGGACCCGCUGUGUCCUCGCGCACGCGCUCCCAUGCUUGCCCCCUUAGGGUGUAGUCUUUCGAGGUCAUCCCUGGACUUAAGGAAACCCACCUUCACCUCCGCCCGGCUCAUCCUGUUUCUAAUGGUACUUCUCUAUCCAAUCAAGAUUAAUGAAGACAAGACUCAACAAUGUAAAAGACUACUGAGGCAUGCAAGCACAUGGAAACAUCUAAAAGGGCAUAUAAGCCAGAAGCCCUGAGAUCCUGGUACCCAGAGGACAGUCUGCAGGAUGGAACUGGUGGCCUGAUGCUUUGUAACAUCCUGAUGGGUACGUGAGGCUGCUCAUGAGAUACCUAAAUGCACCUAAUAUCUACAUAGGACCACAACCAACACCACCACCACUGAUGCUACCACCACAAACACCACCAAUGAGAGAAAAAGAGGCACGGAUCUGAAGAAGAGCAAGGUAGUGAUAGGAGAGGGUUUGAGAGAAUGUAGGAAAAGGGGAAAGCAAUGUAAUCAAGAUAUCACACAAUUUAUUUUUUAAAAGGAAGAGAGAUCAAAACCUUUAACCUCACAGAAGAAUCUUUCGUCCAUGAAGCCCACAACUUACUAGAAAAUGGUGAAUUCUCAGCCUGCGUAAAAGUGAAUCAUGACAUUUCAUCAGUACCCCAGGCCUUAUUUCCCUAACUCCUGCCCACCUCUCUCAUGGGCCUGGGUCAGGACUUCACUAACCACCUUGUUCCCACUGCCCCAUCGCUAUGAGGAGGCAUGUCGAUACUGGAAUGACAGUUUCACCUCAAGACUUCCCCACCCUUUAAUAUCUCCCGAAGACUGACAGUUUACUGAGCAGCCCCGUUUAUGACCUAUGCCCUGUUUUGAGGGUUAACUCAGGCAAAUGAAUCCUCUUGACUUCUGCCAUUGAAAGAAAACCCUUAUCAGUGGAAGUGGAAGCCUUGGUCUUGCCAAGGUUGGACCCCCAGCGCAGGGGAAUG